ACAUAGAUAGAGACUGGAGGUAAAACAGAUCCAUAUCCUGCCAUUCUGAGAUAUCAUCAGCAUUUCAUGAUCCUCCAGCACAACAGAGGUCCAGUCCAUGAGGGUUUGUCUUGUCAAAGCUGGACUUGAGGCUCCUUCCCUGAACAGAUGUUUCUGAGCUCUAGGUUUGGAAGAACAUCAUAUUUAAAAAGGGAAGGACCUGGCAACCCACCUCUGUUCCUCC